CGGAGUACCGGUACCAUGGCUGAUUUAAUGGGCUAUUCGUAGUUUCACUGUACUGGCAGUGUGUACUUAGACUUGCAUGGCUUAAUCUUUGAGACAAUGCUACUGGCAGGAUCAACCAGGGCCACCGUACACAAGUCAUUAAAUAAGGCAACAGAAAACAGAAUCUCUGAGUCGAAAAACCCACUGGCUUCGUAAGGUUGGAAGGCUGAGGAGAAAACAACAACAACAACAGCAACAGGUCACAUCAUGAAUCUAAAUGUGUGAGAAUAAUGAUGGGAACCAAUGGAUGUCAUGACAGAAAUUACUAAAGACAACUGGACCCAUGGGGAAGGAAUAUUCAAACUUACUGGAUCCAUCCUGUGUUCGCCCCAACCAUUUUCCCUCUGGGUUACCCUGCACUCGUAUGAUGUCCAGGCUGUCUCCCUGCUUCAGAGCA